UAUAUAUUAAUGGGAAACUUUUCGUAUUAAGGCACUAUAUUUGGUAGAAAAAAUAAUUGUAAGAUUCUAAUAUAAUCUACAACUAGGGAUGGCAAUCCAGUCCGAAUCUCCCUAGUCCGCUCUGAUCCGAAGGAAAAAAUCCGAGUCGACUCCGACAAAAAAGUAAUACCCAAACUCUCACAUGAAUAUACCAUAAUACCCUUACUUAUAUUUUCUGAUUUUUUACCCUCCUCUCUCACUCAUUCACUCUCUCUAUCUUCUUUUUCCUUAAACCACCACCACCACCCUUCACCUCCCUGCCACCACCACCACCCUUCAUUAAACUGUUUUCUCUUUCGAACCAGCCUUAGCUUGGGGUUUUGCGAAUUUGAAUAUGGUGGUAACAAGAAGUGCUGUGAGAAAACAAGUUACAAGCAAGGAAACAAGUGGGCAACGUGAUGAGAUUUCAGGUUGAUUUUGCUGCGUAAUGUGGUUUAUAAGCUUGUGUCUAAGGUUCUUGCCAACCGCCUGGAAGUUUUUCUUGACAAGAUAAUGUUGAUUCACCAAAGCGCACUCACUCCUGGAUGAUUGAUUACAGAUAAUAUUUUUAUUGCUUUUGAGUUGUUUCAUCACAUGAAACAUCUUAGGAGUUCAGAGGAUGGUAUGACUUUAAAGCUUGAUAUGUCGAAGGCAUAUGAUAGGAUUGAAUGUGAUUUCCUUGAUGUUGCUUUGGUUCGAUUUGGUUUUGACACAGGUUGGAGGCAACAAGUGAUGGAUUGUGUUCGUUCAUUUACUUUCUCUGUGUUGGUGAAUGGCAGACCUUCAGAGGAUUUUGCACCUAAAUAAAGUGAUUAGGCUGGGAGACCCUUUCUUUCAGCAUAUUUUUAUCCUUUGUGCAGGUGUCUUCUCUCAUUUGUUGGGCAGUGCAGAGGAGAGUAAUUCAUUGAGAGGCAUCAAGCUGGCACCUCCGGUCCUUUCCAUUAAUCAUUUAUUGUUCGUUGAUGAUUGUAUUAUAUUUUCUAGAGCUUCUUUGCAAGAUUUAGAUGCCGUCUCGCAUGCCUUAAGCUUAUAUGAGCACUCAUCGGGACAGAAGGUGAAUUUCGAUAAAACUACUAUUUUCUUUAGCUGAGGUGUGUCGCCUGUCGGGGCAAAGGAGGGGGGCUAUUGCAGAUUCUCUUGGUGUUUGAGUUGUGGAUAUACAUGCUAGGCACUUAGGGUUGCCUACGUUGGUUGGUCGGUUGAAGAAGGUGAUUACGAAUGUUGUGAAGGAGAAACCAUGGAAGAAGUUGCAGGGAUGGAAGGGGAUGGUUCUUUCUAAAGUUGGUCAGGAGGUUACGAUAAAGGCAGUGACCCAAUCUCUCCCUACCUACGCAAUGAGUGUUUUUAAGUUUUCAUCCUCUUUCUGUGAUGAGAUGAGAUCCCUUAUUCGCAAUUUUGGUGGGGUCAAAAGCAGAAAUAAAGGAAGAUUCAUUGGGUUGCGUGAAAGAAGUUAUGCAAACCUAAAAGUGAAGGGGGCUUGUUUUCGUGAUAUGAAGCUGUUUAACUAGGCUUUACUUGGUAAACAGGCUUGGAAACUUACUACGAGACAAGGGAGCUUAGUUGAGCAGAUUUAUAAGGCGCGAUAUUAUCCGAAAACUUCUUUCAUUCAAGCAAAGUUGGGGCGGCACCUAGCUACACUUGGAGAGGGAUAUAGGAGGCUCGAUGGGUCUCAAUAGAGGGAUUCGAUGGAGGGUUGGUAAUGGUGAAAAUAUUAUGAUAUGGUCUGAUCCUUGGAUAAUUCCGGGAACUCAAACUAGGAAGACUCUUUCUCCUAGAGGGGAGGCGAAUGCGUAUGUUGAAGUGGGGGCAUUAAUUCAUCCUAUUAGAAAAUCAUGGAAUGUGGAGUUAUAAAAUUCCCUCUUCUUACCUUUUGAAGUGGACCGAGUCUUAAAAAUUCACAUUAGUCAUCAUUUGCCGGAAGAUCUUUUGUGUUGGGACUUGGAGAAGAAUGGGGUGUAUUAUUCUUUUCGCUCGGCGUAUAGGGCGUUGAUUGGGAUAUGCGGAGUGGUUGGAGGAGGCUACUUUGCGUGUAACUGAUUUGUGGAAAGUCAUUUGGAGUGCUGUCGUUUUACCGUGUGUGAAUUAAGCUCUUUGCUUGUCGAUCUUACCUUGAUGUGUUGCCUACUAAUGUGGGUCUUAAUGAACGUGUCCCUGUGAUUUAUGUUGUGUGUGGAGUGUGUGAUGAAGUGGAAGAAUCAUCCCUCCACGUUCUUACUUUAUGUAAACUGGCGAAAGGCGUUUGUGCCUGCAGUGCUGUCCAUCAAGCUUCGAUGCAAGGGUGUUGUUCGGUGACUGGUUGAUUUGUGCAAUGUUCCAACGAGUUGGAUGAGAGUGAGGUAAGCCUAUUUCUCACAACUUGUUGGGAUGUAUGGGGGUGAGGUGUAAAGCCUCGCUUGAAGGGGAUUUGUCGCCAUCACAAGAAAUUGUGGCGCAUGCGGUGGAGACGAGUGUGGAUAGGCGUGAAGCGAUGGAGCAGGCGAAGAAUGCAGGUCUGUGGGUGAUCUAGUUGUCGCAGCUGAUCAGGUUUGGUGGCUGGUACCAAGUGAGGGGCGAGAGAAGAUUAAUGUUGAUGCGAGACAGGUGGCAAAAGGAAUGUCGGGGUUGGGAGCGGUGUGUCGUGAUGGGUCAGGAGGGGUGUUGAGUUGUGCUGAUGUCCAAGUCAGAGCUAAGUGGGAGGCGCAUACGGCUGAAGCUUGUGCGGUCAUGGAUGGUGUCUUGAAGGCUAGAUCGUUGGGCCUCCAACGAAUUAUAAUCGAGGGCGAUUGCCUUCGGCCUUCGCUUUGUGUAAGCUUCGAGAAAAGUAGAGAAGGGAUCGAGUGCUUUCCAUUUGGUUUUGGAUGAUAUGGUAUCUCUUAUUCCUUCGUCCCUUAGUGUUGUGUGGUCUUCUGUUAAAAGGGCGGGAAAUAGAGUAGCUCACGGGUUAGCUCAUUUUCAACCAUUGAAGGUUGGUAAGCGUUAUUGGGAAGAUGAGAUCCUGAACUCUAUUGUUAAGCUUGCUUUAGAUGAUUUAAUACAAUUGUUCCCUUUUGGGGUUCUCUUAAAAAAAAUCAUAUUAAGGGUGCGUUCUAUUCACCUGAAAAAAUUUGCUUAUCUAAACUGAACUCACUAGACCUAAUUGACGCUU